rnacentral:snRNA from 1 species
GUGCUUGCUUCGGCAGCACAUAUACUAAAACUGGAAUGAUACAGAGAAGAUUAGCAUGGUCCCUGCGCGUGGAUGACACGCAAAUUUGUGAAGCGUUCCAUAUUUUU